rnacentral:tRNA from 1 species
CGCGGGGUAGAGCAGUUGGCAGCUCGUCGGGCUCAUAACCCGAAGGUCGUUGGUUCGAAUCCAACCCCCGCCACCA